rnacentral:rRNA from 1 species
ACGAACGCUGGCGGCGUGCCUAACACAUGCAAGUCGAACGGAGUUGAGUGCUUCGGUAUUCAACUUAGUGGCAAACGGGUGAGUAACGCGUGAGGAACCUGCCUUUCAGUGGGGGACAACAGUUGGAAACGACUGCUAAUACCGCAUGAUACUUUUUGGGGGCAUCCCUGAAAAGUCAAAGAUUUAUUGCUGAAAGAUGGCCUCGCGUCUGAUUAGAUAGUUGGUGAGGUAACGGCUCACCAAGUCUGCGAUCAGUAGCCGGACUGAGAGGUUGAACGGCCACAUUGGAACUGAGAUACGGUCCAGACUCCUACGGGAGGCAGCAGUGGGGAAUAUUGGGCAAUGGGCGAAAGCCUGACCCAGCAACGCCGCGUGAAGGAAGAAGGUCUUCGGAUUGUAAACUUUUGUCUUAUGGGACGAUAAUGACGGUACCAUAAGAGGAAGCCACGACUAACUACGUGCCAGCAGUCGCGGUAAUACGUAGGUGGCGAGCGUUAUCCGGAAUUAUUGGGGGUAAAGGGUGCGUAGGCGGGACUUAAAGUCAGAUGUGAAAUGCGGAGGCUCAACCUCCGACUGCAUUUGAAACUUACGUUCUUGAGUGGGGUAGAGGCAAGCGGAAUUCCCGGUGUAGCGGUGAAAUGC